UACGGAGGGUGCAAGCGUUAUCCGGAUUCACUGGGCUUAAAGGGUGCGUAGGUGGGUAGGUAAGUCAGUGGUGAAAUCCCCGAGCUUAACUUGGGAACUGCCGUUGAUACUAUCUAUCUUGAAUAUCGAGUAGGUAAGCGGAAUAUGUCAUGUAGCGGUGAAAUGCUUAGAUAUGACAUAGAACACCAAUUGCGAAGGCAGCUUACUUCAAGAUUAUUGACACUGAGGCACGAAAGCGUGGGGAUCAAACAGG
rnacentral:rRNA from 1 species